CUUGUUGGUGGGGUAAUGGCCCACCAAGGCGACGACGGGUAGCCGGCCUGAGAGGGCGACCGGCCACACUGGGACUGAGACACGGCCCAGACUCCUACGGGAGGCAGCAGUGGGGAAUAUUGCGCAAUGGGCGGAAGCCUGACGCAGCGACGCCGCGUGAGGGAUGAAGGCCUUCGGGUCGUAAACCUCUUUCAGCAGGGAAGAAGCGCAAGUGACGGUACCUGCAGAAGAAGCACCGGCUAACUACGUGCCAGCAGCCGCGGUAAUACGUAGGGUGCAAGCGUUGUCCGGAAUUAUUGGGCGUAAAGAGCUCGUAGGCGGUCUGUCGCGUCUGCUGUGAAAACUCAGGGCUUAACCCUGAGCUUGCAGUGGGUACGGGCAGACUAGAGUGCGGUAGGGGAGACUGGAAUUCCUGGUGUAGCGGUGAAAUGCGCAGAUAUCAGGAGGAACACCGGUGGCGAAGGCGGGUCUCUGGGCCGUAACUGACGCUGAGGAGCGAAAGCAUGGGGAGCGAACAGGAUUAGAUACCCUGGUAGUCCAUGCCGUAAACGUUGGGCGCUAGGUGUGGGGCUCUUUCCAUGAGUUCCGUGCCGCAGCUAACGCAUUAAGCGCCCCGCCUGGGGAGUACG
rnacentral:rRNA from 1 species